CGGAGGAUGCAAGCGUUAUCCGGAAUCAUUGGGUUUAAAGGGUCCGUAGGCGGUUUAAUAAGUCAGUGGUGAAAGCCCAUCGCUCAACGAUGGAACGGCCAUUGAUACUGUUAAACUUGAAUUAUUAGGAAGUAACUAGAAUAUGUAGUGUAGCGGUGAAAUGCUUAGAGAUUACAUGGAAUACCAAUUGCGAAGGCAGGUUACUACUAAUAUAUUGACGCUGAUGGACGAAAGCGUGGGGAGCGAACAGGAUUAGAUACCCUGGUAGUCCACGCCGUAAACGAUGGAUACUAGCUGUUCGGAGCAAUCUGAGUGGCUAAGCGAAAGUGAUAAGUAUCCCACCUGGGGAUACGUUCGCAAGAUG
rnacentral:rRNA from 1 species